rnacentral:rRNA from 1 species
GAUGAACGCUAGCGGCAGGCCUAAUACAUGCAAGUCGAACGGUGUCUUCGGACAUAGUGGCGCACGGGUGCGUAACACGUAUGCAACCUACCUUACAUUGGGGGAUAGCCUUUCGAAAGGGAGAUUAAUACCGCAUAAGACAGUAGCUGGGCAUCCAGCAGCUGUUAAAGAUUUAUCGAUGUAAGCUGGGCAUGCGUCCAAUUAGCUAGUUGGUGAGGUAACGGCUCACCAAGGCAAUGAUUGGUAGGGGAACUGAGAGGUCAAUCCCCCACACUGGCACUGAGAUGCGGGCCAGACUCCUACGGGAGGCAGCAGUAGGGAAUAUUGGGCAAUGGACGCAAGUCUGACCCAGCCAUGCCGCGCGCAGGAUGAAGGCGUUAUGCGUUGUAAACUGCUUUUAUACAGGAAGAAACGACUCUUGCGAGAGGCAUUGACGGUACUGUAUGAAUAAGCACCGGCUAACUCCGUGCCGGCCGCCGCGGUAACAC